UUUUAUGGUCAUAACAGCCUGAAUAUGCUGGAUCUCGUCUGAUCUUGGAAGUUAAGCAGUGUCAGGCCUGCUUAGCAAUUGGAUGGGAGACUCCUGGGAAUACCAGCUGCUGAAAACU
rnacentral:rRNA from 1 species